UACGUAGGGGGCAAGCGUUGUCCGGAUUUAUUGGGCGUAAAGAGCGUGUAGGCGGCCAGACAGGUCAGCUGUGAAAACUCGAGGCUCAACCUCGAGACGUCGGUUGAAACCGUCUGGCUAGAGUCCGGAAGAGGAGAGUGGAAUUCCACGUGUAGCAGUGAAAUGCGUAGAGAUGUGGAGGAACACCGAUGGCGAAGGCAGCCCCCUGGGCUGAGAUUGACGCUCAGGCACGAAAGCGUGGGGAGCAAACAGG
rnacentral:rRNA from 1 species